CAUUAAAGUAUUGCUUGACUUGUUCAGGAGACAAUUGACCUGGUUUCUUAUCUUUUGGUUGAGGAGGUGGAAUUGUGUACACUUCAGGAGCAGUCUCAACUGCUGCAGCUAC